rnacentral:lncRNA from 1 species
UUUCUUUUCUUGGCGUCGCCACGCGAGCCGCACGGCGGCCGCGCAGCGCACCCCCGCCCGCCGCGAGAGAAAUUUUUGUAGAAAAUGUAUGUGAAAAAAGACGGGAAACGGUCCGAGGACUCGACGGUGAUUGGCCAUGCACGAGGAGGCGGGAGCCACAGGCAACACACUGCAGCGACGACAUCGAGUUUGGUAGAGAGGCGCGAGAAUGUUGGCGCGACAAGCGGACCCUACCGCAGCCGCGCCGCGCCCCGUCGCCAACACGGACAGCAGCCAAAUGUUGCAAAAAACCAAGAUAUAUCCACAUAAAAUCCAGGAUAAAUCGUGGCAUUAACGUGUCGAAAAUCCAGGAUAAAUCAGAGCAUAAAAAGGCGCAACAGGGA